CCUACGGGUGGCAGCAGUGAGGAAUAUUGGUCAAUGGGCGAGAGCCUGAACCAGCCAAGUCGCGUGAGGGAAGACGGUCCUACGGAUUGUAAACCUCUUUUGUCAGGGAGCAAGCAGCGCCACGCGUGGCUCGGCGAGAGUACCUUACGAAAAAGCAUCGGCUAACUCCGUGCCAGCAGCCGCGGUAAUACGGAGGAUGCGAGCGUUAUUCGGAUUUAUUGGGUUUAAAGGGUGCGCAGGGGGAAGCGGCAAGUCAGCGGUAAAAUUGCGGGGCUCAACCUCGCCGAGCCGUUGAAACUGCUCUGCUAGAGUGGGCGAGAAGGAGGCGGAAUGCGUGGGGGAGCGGUGAAAUGCAGAGAUAACACGCAGAACUCCGAUGGCGAAGGCAGCAUACCGGAGCACAACUGACGCUCAUGCACGAAAGCGUGGGUAUCGAACAGGAUUAGAUACCCCAGUAGUC
rnacentral:rRNA from 1 species